CAAACCACAGUCGCCAUCUUGGGUAGUUAAUAAACGUUGCUUAGAUACGCAUCGCCAACGUUUAGUGAAUCUUAUCAAAAAAUACUUUUCGUCAGUCGUUGACGUUUCGCGAAAAUAUUGUUUUUGACACUUUUUUAUGAUAUACUUUUUGUUAUGUGUUUUUUCUUUAAACCUAAGAUUGGCCGAUUGCGAUAAAAACCAUAGAAAGAAGAAUAAUAACCAUAACCUCAAAGUCGAAGUUUUAGUUCAAAUGUCAUUUAGUUGUUCAAAUGUCAUUGUCAUUCACUUUGUUUGGAUUACACACGUCAUGCCGAAAAUCGUAAGUAUUUCAUAAAAUGUUUCGUUGGUCGUGUCUCUGUCUUCGUUUAGUCUUUUGUUUGAUGAUACCUAUAUCAUUUUGUUAACAGCCGAAUCUCCGUGCAUUUGGUAAACAUUGUCACAAUUGUGGAAAGUGGAUGGAGCGAAGGGCUCUUCGUAAAGAUGUGACAUGCAAUUUUUGUAAUGGCAAAAUAUUUGCAAGAGAUGGCAAACAAAAGCAAAUGUGCAGUCGGUGUGUGGAAUGCGACAACAUUAUACUCGCUAAGCGGCUCAAUAUUUUUUCUCUAUAAUUCGACAAAUAAUAAUAAAUGACCACACGCAUAGCCUGUGUUGAGGUGUCAUGAACACAUAUAAAACAGACACGAUUUUUUCACCGUUUUUCUCGAUAAUGAAAUGAACCCCUUCAUGCGCAAGUUCUACUUGAACUUGGCUGGCUCUUAUUAUACAAUAGACAUUAUUAAUUGUAUAAUAUAUUUUUGCAGAUAAUUUCAAUUAUUGCGAGUGCUGUGGCUGUAAAAUGAAAAAUAAUACUUAUUACCAGAUAGAGAUGUCGAUAACGAAGAGUUGAAUGUUAGAACUUAUGAAAAUAUUAUUUACAACUCAUUUCGAGAAGCUGCUCAAGCAAGAAGGCUCCUUUUUGAUGAUCAAGAAUGGGAAAGAUGUUUGAAUGAAGCAAUUGAUUUUAAACUUCCUCGGCAAUUAUUUCGAGUUCGAAGAUUCGAUGAUGUAAAUAUUCAAAUUAUCAAUACCACUGAACAAGGCUUGAA